rnacentral:rRNA from 1 species
GACAUAGGUGGCGAACGUUAUCCGGAAUUAUUGGGCGUAAAGGAUGCGUAGAUGGUAGAAUAAGUUACUGGUCGAUGCCAAACUCAAUUUGACGGAAGCUGGUAAUACUGUUCUGCUCGAGGGCAGGAGAGGUUGAUGGAAUUCUGUGUGGAGCGGUGAAAUGCGUUGAGAUCGGAAGGAACGCCCGUGGCGAAAGCGAGGUCCUGGGCUCCUGCUGACGCUGAGACGCGAAAGCCAGGGGAGCGAACGGG